rnacentral:rRNA from 1 species
UACGGAGGGCGCAAGCGUUAUCCGGAUUUACUGGGUUUAAAGGGUGUGUAGGCGGACUUUUAAGUCAGCGGUGAAAUCUCCGGGCUCAACCCGGAAACUGCCAUUGAUACUAUUGGUCUUGAAUGUUGUUGAGGUGGGCGGAACGGGUCAUGUAGCGGUGAAAUGCAUAGAUAUGACCCGGAACACCGAUUGCGUAGGCAGCCCACUAAGCAACGAUUGACGCUGAGGCACGAAAGCGUGGGGAUCAAACAGG